rnacentral:rRNA from 1 species
AUUGAACGCUGGCGGCAUGCUUUACACAUGCAAGUCGAACGGUAACAGGUUAAGCUGACGAGUGGCGAACGGGUGAGUAAUGCAUCGGAACGUGCCCGAUCGUGGGGGAUAACGCAGCGAAAGCUGCGCUAAUACCGCAUACGAUCUGAGGAUGAAAGCGGGGGACCGUAAGGCCUCGCGCGAUCGGAGCGGCCGAUGUCAGAUUAGGUAGUUGGUGGGGUAAAGGCUCACCAAGCCAACGAUCUGUAGCUGGUCUGAGAGGACGACCGGCCACACUGGGACUGAGACACGGCCCAUACUCCUACGGGAGGCAGCAGUGGGGAAUUUUGGACAAUGGGCGAAAGCCUGAUCCAGCAAUGCCGCGUGCAGGAAGAAGGCCUUCGGGUUGUAAACUGCUUUUGUACGGAGCGAAAAGGCUCUCUCUAAUACAGGGGGCUCAUGACGGUACCGUAAGAAUAAGCACCGGCUAACUACGUGCCAGCCGCCGCAGUAA